rnacentral:rRNA from 5 species
UAAACGACUCUCGGCAACGGAUAUCUCGGCUCUCGCAUCGAUGAAGAACGUAGCGAAAUGCGAUACUUGGUGUGAAUUGCAGAAUCCCGUGAACCAUCGAGUCUUUGAACGCAAGUUGCGCCCGAAGCCUUCAGGCUUAGGGCACGUCUGCCUGGGCGUCACGC